GCUAAAUAUAACUACCAUAGCUAGGUGGUUAGAGAGGAGUCAUACCAUACAGCUAAAUAUAACUACCAUAGCUAGGUGGUUAGAGAGGAGUCAUACCAUACAGCUAAAUAUAACUACCAUAGCUAGGUGGUUAGAGAGGAGACAUACCAUACAGCUAAAUAUAACUACCAUAGCCUGGUGGUAUGUGGUUAGAGAGGAGUCAUACCAUACAGCUAAAUAUAACUACCAUAGCUAGGUGGUAGGUGGUUAGAGAGGAGUCAUACCAUACAGCUAAAUAUAACUACCAUAGCUAGGUGGUUAGAGAGGAGACAUACCAUACAGCUAAA